GGUAAUGUGGUGUAGUGGUUUGAGUGUUGGACUAGGACUCUGGAGACUAGGGUUCAAUUCCCAGUUUGGCUA